rnacentral:lncRNA from 1 species
UUUUUAUUUUUAUAUUUAAAUUUUAUUUUUGAAAAUUUUUACUACUGAUUUUAUAAAAUAUAUAUAGUUUUUUAUUAAUAAAUAAGUUUUAGAUGAAUUUUUAGAAAAAUUAUUUGAAAUUUAAAUAAUUUAAAUUAAUAUUUGAAAUAAUACAUACAAAAAAAAAUUAAAAAAAUGCAUUAGAAAAAGAAAUAAAUAAAUAAAUAAAUGGCCCAGCCUGGUGCUUACUGCUUAGGCCCAGUCCAAAAUGGACCAGGCCACACCCAGCCCUGUGGCCCAGCACUGCCCACAUUUGGAUGUGGGCCGAGCCGUGCCGGGCCACCGGUCAACAAGUUGCAGCCUAGCAUGGCUCGCACCACCAGGCCAGGCUGCAGGCCGACUGCAAAUGGGCAAGCAUGGCUCGCAGUCGGGCUGGUUUUACACCACUAGGCAUGAGUAAUCUAUAACUCACACAUAUUUUUCCAUCAAUAAUUUGCUUUCGGCAAAAUUUUUAGCCUGCUAGAUAUUCACAAAUUAUUAAUAAACUAACUAAAGGUUCUGUUCUGACAGUGCCACCUUAUUGGCCAUCAGCCUUCUCACUUUAAUUCUUUUUCCCCCUUAUCAUUUAAACCAUUUAUUUUCCAAUUUGUUAAGCAUGUAAAUAUCAUGGCGCUGUAUUGAUAAGAGUUUGCCAAAAUGGAAUUGAGUUUCAGCUCAUUUGGUCUCUUAACAAGCUAGCAUCAACAUAUAAUGAGAAGAUGUCAAAGGAACUGCUCUCAAUCGCUCUCUAUAAUCAUCUAGCAGCUGAAAUUAAUAAGCAACUAUCGAUGUCCAGUUACUUGCACCAAUAUUUGAUUAGAUUGACCUCUGAAGAACACUGGAUCUCUGAAAAUUAGGCAUAUAGGUUGCAUAGAUUGGUAUGCUAACAUUAUCAACUGCUUAAACUACACUAAAAUUUUGCAUCAAUGGUGGUAAAUGAGUCCUAACUUCACAUUUUACCUUGUGUAUUCACAUCAAUAACCCCACACCAUCAAUAAUCCAUCAUCAUUAGGUUAACAAUUCUCAACAGAAAUUAAUUAAUUUGGCUUACGAGCAUCUGGCUUUUGGCCUCAGACCAAUCCAAUCAAGCAUUCAAAGAAUCACACAGCUUCUACAAACCCAACUGGUUAAUAUACUCCUCGUCCGAAACUUCUCUAACAUCAAAUUAAUGCAAAAAAUCCAACAAAUUCAACAAUAUGCGUACGAAAAGAAGGACUCCAAUCCAACAAACACUAACCAUAUCUCACCAAAUCGGUUCUUCUACUCUUAAAUUCAUCACAACGGGAUCAAUAAACAAGAAACAAAAGGUAAUUUAAACAAAAAAUCCUAAAACUAAACAACCCAAAAAAAAAGGCACUCCGAUCCUAUAGAAACCCUAUGUAACCCUAAUCGAUCCGGAUCGUUAAGUAUGGAGCUGGAUUUAGAGAAGAAGAAGAGGGGAUUCUCUUACCGAUUAUGAGAAUCCGAUAGAGGGGAGGUCGAUAAUGGCGGAUUAGGGCUGGAUCUCUCUCCUCCGCCACCGAGAGAGAGAGAAAGAGAGAGAGAGAAUUAGGGCGCAAAAACCGGUGGGAAAAGGAAGGGGAAGGGGAAUAAAUAGCGGGUCAAAAUGCGUGGAGACCCCUCAACUAUACUAAAUUUACAAAUAAGUAUCUCCAUUUAAAUUUGUUUUAUCUUAUACGCCAUUAUUUUUUCAUUUUUAUUUGAGAUUUUUGAGUUGUGAAUAAAAUUAUUAAAUUUGGUGAGAUACUAAUAAAUUCGAUGAAACUUUUUCAUUAAUUAUAUUAAAAAAUGUAAAAAUGCAUGGAGAUCCACUCAACUGUAGAUCAUUCCAAAAUAGCCCCCUCAACUUCUUAUUUUUUUAAUUUAAUUUUUUAUAUUUAGUUAAAGCUUAAAAUCUCACAAAACUUAAUGGCCUUAUUAGUUAUUAAUUAUUAAUUGACCCAGUUUUAUUUGCCAAAAAGUGGUUAAAAUCAUUAAAUUGGGUAAAAUCACUGUGAAUUUGAUAAUAUUUUCAAAUUCUAUGGCUAAAAUUAUUAUAUUAAAGGAUUAAUUUCAUACAGGUCUCUACAAACAUAGUAAAUUACAAAUAUAUCCUUACAAAAUUCAACUUUCAUACGUUGUUUCUAUAAAAAUCUUAAUAUUUUCAAAUAUGUUCCUGCCGCUAGAAAAUUUUAGCUAACCAUAAGUUAAAUGCUUAACUCUAAUUAAUUUAUGAGAUAACUUGAUAUUUUUGCCUUUCUCAUAUUAAACUAUUUUGGUUUUUUGAAGGGACAUAUUUGUAAUUAAAAAUUAACAUUUUACUUAAAAUAUAUACAGUUCUAUAAACGAUAACAAAUCAGAGGGACAUACUUGAAAAUAUUAGAACUUUUAUAGAAAUAAUUAUAAAAGGUGAAUUUUGUUAAUAACAUAUUUGCAAUUCACUAUCUUUAUAGGGACAUGAAUGUAUUUAAUGUUAUAUUAAAAUAUUAAAAGUCAAGGGAUCACAAUCAUAAAAAAAAUAAUAAUAAUAACUAUGGGGGCUGUUUUAGAAUGGUAUAUAUUUGAGGUGAUCUGUGUACAUUUUUACAAUCUUUUUUCCUUAAUUUAAUUUUUUUUAUUUAAGUUUUUCUAGUUAGUUAAAUAAAAAAUAUUAUCAAAUUUUAUAGUUUUACUCGCUAAAAAGUGAUUAAAGCUAUUAAAUUUAAUAAAAAAACACUCACGACUUUACUCAAAACUUUUCAUUUAAUUAUUAAUUUAAAAAAAAAAAGAAGUUGAGGGACAUGUUUCAAAAUAAUCUAUAGUUGAGGGGGCUUUAUACACUUCUUGCCUUUUGACUUGACCCGGUUUUGUGUGGUCCCAUUCUCCCAGCCCAGAAGAUUCCAAUGGAUUAGGGCGUAGACCAGGUCCACCACGUCAGCUAGACAGGACCAAUCAAAGUACCUCAAAGUGCGCAUUUGGUUGUAAAUUAUUCGGUGCACAUAGUGUACCACGUAAGCGACGAACCGAACGUGUAAGAUGCACACACGUUGCUUACUCCCAUUGGCAGUGGCGUUUUAAUGAUUGAUUCACAUACCUGGUCUAUAGACCCGGUCCAGGAAAUAUCUCCACACUCUCGCGGGUUACAGUUUCUUGGGUGUUUAUAUAUAUAUAUAUAUAUAUAUAAAAUAAUUUUUAAAAAAGGGAUAAUUGCGUAAAUAACCCCGCGAAGUGGAGAUAUUGCAUAUUAACCUCUAUAAAUUAUAAGAUAUCUUAUAUAUCCCUACAAAAUUUAAAAACUUACCAAUAUGUGCGUAAAUUGAUUAUUUUGUCUUUAUUUUGAUCCGCCGUGGCAAUCGUUUUCAAUGAUGAGAUGCAACUCUAUCAUCUUUUAUUAGUAAAUUAAAAUUAUUUAAUUUUGCUUAGGUUUCUUUAUAUUAUCUAUAAUUGCAAACAAGGACAAAAUAAUCUUUUUUUUAAGUAAAAUAUAAAUGUCUUUUAACCGGUCAAUGAAAGUAUUUGUCAAAUUUCAAAGUCUUGCAGGGCAUAUUUUUAAUAUUUAAAGUUUGGGGAGACAAACAUACAAUAUUUCUUUUCUUUUUUUUUUCUGAAUUCAAUAUAAUAAAAAAUUAAAUACUAACACACAAAUUUGCGUUGAGUUAGAAUAAUUCUAAGGGGUUAUUUAGUUGCACGUAACUGUAAAUUGUAUUGCAAUUGUAGCCACUCAGGUGUUUAUUUUGAUGCAUUUAAAUUUACUGGUGCAAUUACAGUUGUACGAGUAGGCUCAAUUACAAUAGUUGAAGCUUGCGCUCGAAUUUGGCCACAGUUUCAACUACAGCACUUGGAGAGGAAUAAUUAUUACUGAAGAUAAACUUAUCUUUCUAAUGACUUUUGUAAAAAUUCGUAAAUACAACUUCUCAGCCGAAUGCAACCAAGCAAGUUAUUUAUACAUGCAACGCUUCCUGCUACAUUCAACCAAAAUAAAAUGCGUAUAAUUAUAAAUACUGUAUUUUCAACUGCAUUUAUCUUCAAAUGCACUGCAUUUAUAAGCAUGUCAAACCAAGGAAGCCCUAAAAGGAGUCUAGCUACUAUUCUUCUAGGAGGACAAAAGCCUUCACCCUCCUAACUUAUUUUAGAUGAUAGGAAUCUCGAAUCGAUGAUCAGAACCAUUAAAAUUGAUCUAAAAUAUUUAUAAUGUCUAGAAACUAAAUUUUAUAAAUUUUAAAAUCCGUUAUCAAAUUCAUUAAAGAGUCGAGAAAUGAACCGUCAAAAAUGAAUAAUCUUGUGAAAAUACAUAUUAGACUUUUUUAAUUCAUGAUCGGAAUUAUCAAAAAUUCAAGUUGUUUAGAUUAUUCUCCACUGUUAAACAAGCAGACGGCUCAUGUAGGUUGUCAAAAACUGUUGAUUUUGCGAUUUUUUUUUAUCACUAUGUAAAUAUUUUUUAAAAUUCAUGAAGUUUAGUUUCUAGAUACUUUAAAUAUUCUAAAUCAACUUUAACAGUUUCGAUCAUCGAUUUGAAAUUUCUAUCAUCUAAAACGACUUAGGAGGAUAAAGCCAUCCGUCCUUCUAAAAAGAUAGUAGAUGUAUUUCCCUAUAAAAGUUUUUUUUUUUUUUUACCCACUUUGUUUAUUUCAUUUAGAAAUAAAUUUAACUGAAAAUGUGAAUCAACUAGAAUUUGAAUCUGGAACUUCGGGUACCAACCACCAACCCUGAAAGUUUUAUUAUUUGCAUACUUCUAACUCUUUUUUUCCAUUUAUCUCUAUUAAAUCUUAGGCAUCUAAGGGCUAUGGUCCAUGAGUGGUUGAAGGGCAUGAAUAAUAAUACUUUUGGAAGUAUCCCACCAAAUAUUAAACAAAUUUCUAAUAAGAAGGAUUUUGUGACAACUAAAAGAUAUGAUUAUUCUCAAUUGAUCGAUCCUUAUCCAAAUGUCUUUAUCAGAAAGAGUUAAGCUUUGUAUGGAUAUGGAGGUUUUUUUUUUUUUUUUUUUUUUUUUUUUUUUUUUUUUUUUUUUUUUUUUUUUUUUUUUGUGGAUGGUGAAAUCAACCAAACACAUGAGUUUAGUAUCCUACGCCAGAACAAGUUUAGUUUAUAAGGUCCCCUUCACAGUGUGAUCAAUGCUAUAUGUAUAUUUAUAUAUAGAGAGCUAGGCUCUCGCUCUUUCAAAAGCACGAAGAUCUCUAUAUUUAUAAGUUGUUUUUUAUGAUGGAACAUCCGAUUCAACGACCGACUUUGUUAGAUAUGAUCUAUGCUGUUAGAACUAUUUAGAAAACAAAUUUCAUAAUUUUUUCAUUUUGUUUAUCUAGUGAACGAGCAACAUUAAAAUAAACGGCUGAAAAUAAAAAUCUCAUAAAAAAUAAUAAUAAAAGAUUUAAAUUUUAAAUCAAAAGUAUUGUUCUUGUUCUUAAUAUUAAGUACCAUUUUCUAUUAAAGUUUUAUAUAAUUUGGAUUCUUUUACACCGUUGAACUUACAAACGUGCUACAUCGGCCGUUAAAAUAAUCAUUUUUAAGACCCUUUAAAAUAAUCAUUUUUAAGACCCUUUGACCACCUGGUAAAUAAUAUAAAAAAAAUAUGAAAAUUAGUUUUUAAAUAGUUCUAACAGCGUAAAUCAUACUUAAUGGAGCCAAUCAUACAUACAUGAACUAUAGAGUAAGUCUCAUAUGCUUUCGAGAGUACGGAGGCUUCCGUACUUACAAGCUGUUUUCGAUGAUAGGAUAUCCGAUUCAAUGAUUGGCUUCGUAAAAUAUGAUCUACAUUAUUAGAACUAUUUAGAAACUAAAAUUAUUUAGAAACCAAAUUUUAUAAUUUUUUGACAUUAUUUACUAAGUGAUUAAAGGGCCUAAAAAAUAACUAUUUUAAUAGCCGAUGUGGUAUAUUUGUAAGUUUAACGGUAUAAAAUAAUCCAAAUUAUAUGAAACUGCAAUAGAAAAUCCUACUUAACAUUAAGAGUAAGAAUAAUACUUUCGAUUUGAAAUUUGAGUCUUUUACAUUAUUCUUAUAAGAUUUUUAUUUUCAGCCGUUUAUUUUGAGAUUACUCGUUCAUUAGACAAAUGAAAUCGAAAAAUUAUGAAAUUUGGUUUCUAAAUAAUUAUAAAAGCAUAGAUCAUACCUAAAGGAGCCAUCAAAUUGAACGUCUCAUUAUCGAAAAAAAACUUAUAAUCACGGAAGCCUCCGUGCUUUUGAGAGAGAGAGGCUAGGGCUACUAUACUAUUACGAGUAUAAAUUCUUUUUUACUCAUAAGUUUUCGGCCGUUGGAUAAAAGGAUGUGCGAUUAGGAUAAUAGUAAUUCUGGAUUAGGUUGAUAAUGGUCCCCUAGGAUUAAGUGGGUAGUUGGUUAAAUAAUAUGAUCCAACGAGUAAAAAUGGUCAAAGGGAUAGAUCUAACCACCAAAAACUUAUGAAUACUAUAUAUAUAUAUAUAUAUAUAUAUAUAUAUAUAUAUAUAUAGCACUCAUAGGAAUAAAUGCGUCUACAGGGGCACAGGGUACACAGAUUGUGAAUUCAUAGCACUGACCAAUCACGUGUCAGAAUAAGCAGAUUAAUAAAUAUAUAACACAUACGGAAAUGUGACAUUUACUUGGCUUGGAUAUCAAAAUUACUGAAUCUACUCUUGUUUGUCGCAUUAGGAAACGACUCAGAAGUAGUUUGGAACAGUGUAACUAAACUGCAUACGUAAUUGACCAAAGUGAAAACAGUAGUUUCUGUUAUUAAAUGAUCAUAGAGUCAGGACUUUGGACUUUAAAGAGUUUUCGAAUCAAAUCUAUCAGAAAAUGUCAAAAAAACUCUUAACAAUAUUUAGCCAGUAAAUAAUAACCAAACUUAAUUAACAUUUGUUGUUACAAGUAUAUAUCCUCAGAGAUUGAUCUCUUUUGAAUAAUCGCAUGGAGAUCGAAUGCGCGUGUUUAUUAGUUUCAAAUUAACCUUUGCAUGAUCAUUUGGGUCGCAAUAAUGUAGCUCACGAUUGUUAGUAUAUAUUUCUGGGCUUAUUUUCUAGUAAAAGAUCUUUCUAAUAACAUAGCAUUAGAGUUGAUUCUAAACCUUUUUGUUCUGUAAAGUUGUGGAUUCAGUAUCUAACUACCUUUGGCAUUUAACAAGUUAAAGUUUCAUCUCAUAUCCUAUCUCACCUUUCAAUUUUAUGUGCCUACUACAUCCAUCGUGUACGUGAAUGAGAGUGUUAAUAUAUGUACGUUAACGAGAAUGAGGAGGGUACCUGCAAGGAGAGAAUGGGUAGGGGAGGUGGGUCAGGUUGGCGUGCAGCGCUCUCNAUUUAAAUUUCUGGAAUAACAAUUUAUAAACAUAGUGUGUGUUUCUCUGUAUAUAUAUAAAUAUAGUUUUAUAAACAAUUUCUUCUACUAUUUAUUUUUCUUUUAUUUACUGAUUUAUUUAAAUUAUUUGAAUAGAUUUAUCUCAAAUCUUUUUCACAUAAAUCUUUACAAAAUAAUUUAAUUAUUAAUAAACUGUUAUAUAAAUUUAUGUUGCACAUAUACCAGUUUUAAUUAUUUUUCUUUAAACAUAUUUAAUUAUUAAAUUAUUUUUAACAUAACUUUUACUUAAUCAAUAAUUAGACUUAUAAAACUAUAUAAAAUAUAUAUAAAUAUAAAUCAAAAUUUAUUAUUAAAAUAUUUUUAUAUCCGCAGCGUCGCGCGGGUCUUUCACUAGUGUGGCAUUAAUCUAAUAUAAUUCUUCUUUCUCUAAUUAUAUAAAUUUAAAAUAUAUAAAUUUUUAUACAUAAUUUUUAAAUAGUUUAAAUUUCAUGGCCAAUUUGCAUGAAAAAUUCACUAAUUUUGGGCUUUUGUAAAAGUUGACAACUUUUUUCGAUUUUGCAUAUUCAGAUUGAAAUUUCAGCAAACUAAUCAAAAUACCUUUAUUAUUUUUUUCUCUCGUUCUUUUUUUUUUCUCUCUCCAAAGAAGGCAGGGGAGGCGGAGGCGGAAAUAGCCCACCUCGCCUCCGCCUCACCUCCACCUCGCAGCCCUCGCCAGUGCACUCCAACCCUCCUCGCCUCCGACCCUACUAAGGCUGCGUCGCCACCUUCUUCUCCACUAGGGCACGACAACGUCGAGACGCAGGCUCUUCUCCUCCACCGCGCGUCAGAACGCCGAGACGUUGCCGGGGGCGGCGAGAUCGCCUUCGACAACGUCGCGUUGGUUGCGAUAGAAAGCAAGGGAGAGGUGAUGACAAAAAAAAAAUUAUGAAUAAUAAAAAAUAAAAAUUUAUUUUUUUCUACAGAAAAGAUCAAAAAAUAUAGGAGAAGAAAGAAGAUGAUGAAAUUGCACUCUUAAAAAAAAAAUUACACUGUUUAAAAAAGACUUGCACUGUUUUAAUAAAAAUUACACUAUUUCAUAUAGAAAUUAUACUUUUUAAAAAUAGACUUUACAUUCUUUAGGCCAGGAUUGCACAAGUUAUGAAAAUUUUGCACGAUUUAUGAGAAUUGUUGACUUAAAUAGAACAGUAUUCUACCCUAUGGCGUGAGGCUGGUUAGGCCGAGUCACAGUCGAGACACUGCACUAGAGAUAAUAAAGUUAAGGUGCAAAUAAAUAUGGUGGCAAAUGUAAGAGUACUAUAGGUCUAUAGGCUACUUGUAUGUAAGGUCAAUCUAUUGCCACGUAUCAUGGCAGCGAAAGAAGCGUCCCGAUCGAGCCCCAAAAAUUUGAACUCACACGCAACUUACACCAAAUUAAGCACGUUUCAAGGGGACUAAUACUAGAAUUCUAGUGGUCGUGAAUGUGCGAGGACUAUAUAUAGGCUAAUUAAUAAAUUGCACGUAAGGUUUAUUGUACUGUUACAGUGUCACGUAUCACUUUCAUAGUGCGACUACCACAAAGAUAUUUUUAUUUGUGAAUUUUAAAAUAUUAACCAAUUUUUUUUUGCAUCAUAAUUAGCUAAGCGGAUAGAAAAAUCAUAAGCUUCCAUUUGAUUGGGGUAUAAGGAGGAAUUACUAUUCUAUUCCUUAAUUACGGAUUAUCAUUCCUUAAUAACAUAUUAUUCCGAGAUAACAUAUUAACGGGUGGGAUUAGCAAUCCCUCCUCUUCCCCUGGAAUAGAGGUGGGAAUAGCUAUUCAUAUCCUUAUUUAAUUUUUAAAUUUAAAUUAUAAAUUAAAAAUUUAAAAUUUGUAAUUUUAAAAUUUAUAAUUUAUAAUUUGUAAUUCUAAAUUAUAAAUUUUAANAUAUAUAUAUAUAUAUAUAUAACUUAUCUGAACUAUGCAUCAUUUUGAAUUAGCUACCAGACGUUUCGAACUUUUGAUUCUAGUAUCCAAUCUUUCGAUUUAUUUUAUUUGUGCCAAUCAACGGCACUUGAACUUCAAAUUUUGAAUACGUCGUUUAUCUUUACGGAUUUAAUUAGUUCUUGCAAGUAUAAACUCAUUAAAGUAAGUAAUUAGCUUAAAUUUUGAAGUCAAUAUAUUACUGACCGAUUCAAAUCAAACAAAAUAAAAAUUUAGAUAGUAAACUUAAAAUUUUGGAAGUUUGGAUUAUUGAUUCAAAGUAAUCCAUACUUUAUAUAAGUUUUGUAUAUAUAUAUUUUAAAAAAAUACUAAAACUACCCAAAAGAAAAUUUUAAAUCCUUAGACAUAUAUAAAAUUUACACUUUAUAUAUUAAGAUGUAGAGCUAGACUCCUAUACUUUCGAAAGUACGGAUGCCUCUAUGCUUGCAAAUUAUUUUCAAUGAUGGAACAUUCGAUUCGGCGAUCGAUUCCGUUAGACAUGAUCUACGCUAUUAGAACUAUCUAAAAACUAAAUUUCAUAAUUUUUUGACUUCAUUUGUCUAAUAAAAGAGUAGCUUAAAAAUGAACGGCUGAAAAUAAAAUACUCAUAAAAAAUAGUAAUAAAAGACUCAAAUUUCAAAUCAUGAUCUUGCUAUUGAUGUUAAGUAGAAUUUUCUAUUAAAAUUUCAUAUAAUUUGGAUCGUUUUACACCAUUGAACUUAAAAACGUGUCACAUCGAUUGCUAAAAUAGUUAUUUUUGAGACCUUUUAAUCACGUAACAAAUAAUGUCGAAAAAUUAUGAAAUUUGGUUUCUAAAUAGUUUCAAUAGAGUAGAUCAUGCCUAAUAGAACUGAUCGUCGAAUCGGAUAUCUUAUCAUCGAAAAUAACUUACAAACACAAAAUUCUCCGUAUUUUCAAAAGUACAGGAAACGUACUCUUAUAAUAUUAAAAACACCAUAACAAGUCCUUGUCUUAAACCUUUCAAAAUGCCUCGCGCCUCCAAUUGUAUAAUAUUAAAAAAACACAGUUCUCUGGUAACUAAUAAACUCCCCAAUGUAUAUUUCCUUAAUUCCAAUAUACAUGGCACAAAAAAUAAAAAAUAAAAAAAAUAAAAAAAGAGCUAGCGUGCAUAGAAAACUUGUUAUGAUUGUCUCUCUUGAAUAAUCUCAAAAUCCCAAUUUCGAGCAUUUACACAAAAUGGAGAUCUUCUCAUUUGAUCACAUUCACCACAUUGCACCCAAAAUGUCAUACAUAACCAAUAAUCACACUAUAAUGCACUUUCAUUUGUGUACAUAAAAACUUCGGCAAAUAACAAUUCACACGAUUUUCGCCGUAAUCUUCAUAAAAGGAAAACAACAAAACCCCAAAGCCCAGAUACAUUAAAUAUUUGCAUAUCAUCGCGCAAACCGUUAGGUUUUAAUACAACUUCACCUGCGAUUACAUUACUUGUAGUUUAUAUAAUCGACUUUCGUCUUUAGUACAUCGAGAAGGCCAUUAAGAACCCUAAGAAGGAGAUGACGACGACAGGGAAGCUGUCGAUUCUCCGACCUUUACGAGCAGCAUUGGCAUUAACGGCCUUCUGCGACUGAGAGAGCUCGGGAGGGCACGAGAGCCCUUCUUUUCCUUCUCUACACUCGCUCGCGAAAAGGCCCGGAGGGUACUUCCCAUAUAAGUUUAUGUAGCUGAACAUCGUCGAGGCGCAGUCGUUCGUGCCGUCGUUUAACUCAUCGGAGUAUGGGCACGCGAAUUCCUUGAAGGCGGAACAACACAACGAGGCCGGGUACUGUGGGCCCUUGCAUUUGCUUGUUAUAAUGGUGUAGUUGAGGAACUCGAAAUUCACCGGGCAACCUGAUUACCGGGAAGAAUAUAUGAAACUUUCUAAGUAUAUAUUUUAUGACCAUUACUGCUUCAAAAGUUAGUUUCGGGUGGUAAAAACGUACAAAACUUACUUGGACUAUGGAGCAUUUUGAGUUGGCUACCAAACCUUUCAAAAUUUUGAUUUUACUACCCAACCUUUCUUUUGUUUGAUUUUAGUCGGUCAAUGACACUUCGACUUCAAAAUUUGAAUGCGGUGUUCUUCUUUACAAAUUUAGUUAGUAUCCUUUAUGCAAUUCUCGCAACCAUAAAUUCAUUAAAGUAGUCAACUUAAAUUGUUAAGUCAAAGUACCGCUAGCUGACACAAAUCAAAAUUUUGAAACGUUUGGCAGCUAAUUCAAAAUGGUCUAAAGCUCAAGUUUAUAUAUUUUUAUCUUUUUAGGUUUUGCAAAUUUGAUCCUCUUUUGUCCAUUUUUGCAACUUCGAACUAGUUUGUGGAGUAAAAAUGGUCACUGGAAAAGAUUGUCAUAAGCAUAUAUGCAUCAGAAGGAUUCCCAGGGGUGUUGCUUCAGUCCAUACAGAGAUUUUGGUCCAAAAAUGAAAAAAGAAAAAAGAAAGAGAGGAUCAAAGUUGCAAAAAAGAAAUCGCCUUCCAUGGAUCUACUACUUGAAGUGACUAGAUUUCUAUUGAGUAGUUAGCUUGAUGAAGUAGAGAUCAACAUAAUACCUAAUUACAUGGCUCAACAAUUUAAAUGAAUUCACAUAUACGAUCGGCUUUACUUUAACCCUAAUAAAUAAAGUGUAAUUACACCCUACUACACUGUAGUUUAAUGUUAUUUUUCUUUCCUACACUGUAAUUUUUUGUUUUGUUCAAAGACACCAUUGGACUAUCAUUAUCUUGUCAAUCUUUAUACCGUCCUUCAGGUAUAUUUUCAUUUGCUGCCCUACACUUCCUCCCCCCCCCCCUCAGAAACAUCAUUAACCUUUCGUUUUCUCGCCAAUUUCUAUACUACCAUCAGCAAACAUACUAUUUUAGACAAAAACUAAUAACUUUAUUACCAGGCACUGGUUAAAUAGUACGAAGAAAGCAAAAUGAGUCACCAAGAUAGAAUCAUCGAAAGCUUCUAUCGAGUUAUUUUCAACUAUUUUACCCGCAAUAUUUAGAAUUUUUCUUUUUUGUUCCUUGUCGACACGGGCCAAAUAAUUCAUGGCAUUCUUUGCCAACUAAAUAUUUCAUCGCAUUCUUUGCUAAUUAAAUUAUAGCAACAGCAAUAAGCUUGGCUUAGUGGAUGUAUGGAGUAGCUUCUAAAAAGUGAUUUUAAGUCCAAAAGUGAUUUUCGGCUUAAUAGAGCAUUUGACACAUCUACUUCUGAUUUUUAGAAUCAGUUUUCUGAUUUUCGAGAUCCAAAAUCAGAAGUAGCUAAAACCUGCUUCUCGAAAUCUGAUUCUGAUUUUGAACUCAAACGUCAAAUUUUUAUUUUUAUUUUAGAUUCAAAUUUUAAAUUUAAAUUCAAAUUUUAAUUUUUAAAUUUUAAAUUUAUAUUUUAAAUUUUAAAUUUCAAAUUUUAAACUUAUAAACUUCAAAUUUUAAAUUUUAAAAUUUAGAUAUUAAAUUCUCAAUUUUCAAUUUUUAUAUUUAUAUUUUGAAUUAAAAGAUCAAAAUUUAAAUUUCUGUGCAAAUUUAAAAUUUAAUAUUUAAAAUUUUAAUUCAAAUUUUAAUUUUUAAUUUAAAUUCAAAUUUGAAAUUUUUAAAAGUAAAAUUUAGUAAAAAAAAUUAUUAUAUGCCAACAUCAAAAAAAAAAAAUUGCUAAACAAUUUUACAAAAUCACUUUAGAAAAAUCAGUUUAUAUCCAAACUCGGUCAAACACUCUACAACUCUUAACCUAAAUCAAUUCUCCAACCCAAAAUCAAUUCUGCAGAAAUUACUUUUCCAGAAUCUAGACUAAACAGACCCUUAGGGCUCCUCUAUGCCUACAGCUAGGUUCAAAUGAUCUGCUAUUUUAAUUACAGAAUAAUAUCUAAUAAGUUCUUCAAAACUUCAAAAAUAUUUUAUUACCCCUGGAUGACCAAAAUACCCAUGUUGAUUUCAAAAAAUUUCUUCAAAUAUCCCCUUUUCCUCCAGGGUUUACUAAUGGGCUUGGGUUUUAAAAAGGUUUUUUGGGUAUUGAGGGGUAAAUUUGAAAUAAUAAUAGGGAAAACUUCAAAAACCCCCCCCCGUGGUUUCGUGGUUUCUCACUUUGCCCCCCUGUGGUUUAAAGUGUAUCAAAUUGCCCCCCUAUGGUUUCGUUUUUAUCUUUUCGGUAGCUUUUUCAUUAAUAUUUCAUUAAAUUAUAUACAAAAAACUUCAAAUACCCAUCUAAAUUUAUCAAAUAUUCACUUUUGUACCCUUUAAUUUUAACUUUAUUACUAAUUUAAGAAAUAAAAAAUAAUGAAAUUGAUAAGAAAAAGAGAAAAAAGAAACCACAGGGGGGCAAAUUGAUACAUUUUAAACCACAGGGUGGCAAAAUGAGAAACUACGAAACCACAGGGGGGUUUUUUGAAGUUUUCCCAUAAUAAUAGUAAGGGGCAAAUAAGCAAAAAGCCCCUUUAAUUAAAUUGUUAGUUGGACGUGGUUUCCAAAUAUGGGAACUAAAUUUUGCAUGUUAGAAAAUAACUUAAUUUAGCUUUACAACUUUCAUACUAUAAUAAAGUCCAGUUAUGUUUUCUCAUCUAUCACUAUCCACCCAAAAAGGAUUUGUAUGAAAAUAUGAUACAACUGUCAAAAGGGAAAGAGAAAAAGAAAUACAACUUAUAGAUUUGACAUGAUCCUGACCAUACAAACCUAAUCGAAGUAAUCUGACUAAAACCAGACCAUAUUAAUUCAGAAUAAAUCUGUAUCAGAUUAGAGCAGAUACAAAUUUAAGAAGCAAUAUCUACCAAAAUUCGACUACACUGAUCGCUUGCUGAGAAAAAUCAACAUUGUCCCGUGACAUCAAUUAUUUUCUUAGAUGCACUUGGCAUGCAGAGAUGCUUUGGAUGGUUUCUCGACUAUUUGUGCAAAUGAUUUGAACAUGUCUUUUAUCUCCAACAAUUUGUUUGUACUAAAUUCAAGAUUUUCUGGACCAAUCUUUGAAGUGGUUAAUUGCUUGUCACAAGGUUGUUCAUAUUACUAAAAUAUAUAGUCGUGAUGAAUGAAAACGUGAAAAGUCGCAUUUUCAGAAAAUAAAACUGAUGCAGAAACAGCUAAUCAGCUGCGGAAGUAUUCUGAAAUGUCAAGGUGGUGCUUGGUUGAGAAAUUUGAGAUUGGAAAUGAGAAAUCCUGUGCUACCAGGAGAACACAUUAAUAUUCCUACUCUAGGGCGGAAUAACCAAAUCGAACGAACAAUGUUAGGAAGAAGAGUAGAAAUGGCCAAUACCAUUUCUUUUUCUUUUUAUGCCAUCACCACUACUACACCCAAUACACUUACUCCACUGCCAAUGGUUGUCAUCACCACUACCAACUCCGUCGUCCCCAACAACACCCUUAUCGGUUUCCAAUGCCAUAAACCGCUAUCAUGAUCGCUCCUCGCACAAUUAUUAUUGGAAUUGAGUGGUGUUGGUUUUGAAUCGGGUUUCAGGUCGCCCAUGAUGGACAAAUAGGACUUCUAAUCCCAAAUCUAAUCAACUACCAUUAAAAGAAGGCAAAAAUAUGCGACAAUUCAUUCAACUCUAGGCCAUUUUGAAAUAGACACCUCAAUUUUGUUAAGAUUUUCAUAACUUUUGAAUAAAAUAUUUGUAGACACCAUUCUCUGGUAGCUUAAACUUUUGAGGAUAAACAACUAUUUCAUAUAAUUUUACACGGCAACAGAGCAGAAAGUCCUAAAUUUGAGUCCCCUAACUUCACUAAAUUUCCUCCAUUUAAUUAUUCUCCAUCUUGGGCGGUUGGGCCUAUAAAAAAGUCUUGAGCCCAGAUGUUUCAUGUAAUUUAACAAUAACCCUCAACCUCUAAAUUCAUAUAAUUUAAGUUAUCUACAUAGAUUAAAUUGGAUUUUUCGUCAAAUUAACAGGGAUUCCAUUAAAUUUAACUGUUUUGAACACUUUUCGAAUUACGGAUUCAAUUAACUGUGAAUUACUGUGAUAGCUAAUUCCUACAAAUCCCCAAUUCAACUAAAAACAACUAAAAGAAAACGAAUCGAAAUUACAGAAUGAAAAAAAUUCAUUUAAAAAACCCAAAUUAGACAUUCAACACAUUUGCUUAACACCGUCUAAAUCGAUUCAGGUAUUAAAUUAGGAGCUAAUUUCCUAAAAUUAGCACAAAAUUUGGCCAUAAAAAAAGGGAUUUUGUGAGAUGAGCUCACUCUUUUUGGCUUGUAGGAGGCUCCGACCAGUGGAUCCGUGAGAUUGGAACACAUCACCUGAUACAUACAUCAUAACACAAAAAAUUAUCCAAAAUAAAGAAAAACUCACAUAAACCGUCAAAAAAAAAACCCUAAAAAAUUGGGGAAAACAGGGGGGCGACAAAAAUGGGGAAAUUGAAAUUGGUACCGGAGAUGGAAGUGGCGGAGGCGAAUCCGAUGAAGAAGAAGAGAAGGAAAAAGAGAAGCGCCUGCGUUGAGGCGCCAUUGCUCGAACCCAUUUCUCUCUCUCGAUCGAAUUCAAAGGAAAUCGAAGAGGAGAGAGAGAGGUAAAAAUCGUACCUUAAGGGUUCAUAGAGAGAGAGAGAGAGAGAGAUAGAGAGAGAUAGAGAGGAGAGAGAGUGGUGGGACGGAGAACGCGGUUAGGGAAAUACGCGGCGAACCGUACAUAAUAACGGAAGGGCCAAAAAUAUGAAAAUUAAAAUUAGGCUAAAUUACAGAAAACCCCCUAUAAAUACUAGAUUUUUUACUUUCAUUCCUGACUUUCAAAAACUUAUAUUUUGGCACCUUAAAAUUCUAGAAAUAUUUUCAGGGGAAUACAGUGUUAAUGAAUAGAACAAAAUAACCAAAUUACCCUUAUUUUUUUUAUAAAAAAUAAUUUUUAAUAUAUUUUUGUAAUUCUGAAUGACAGUUUUAGAAUAAAUUAUAAGAAAUUGAUAGAAUAGUGACGGAAUAGUGAUGGAACCCUGACGGAAGAGUGCUAAAUAUUGAGGGGUAAAAUAUAUGCUUUUAAAAGUUACGAAGAAAAAGUAAAAAAGUGAGUAUUUACAUAAGGUUUUCUGUAAUAUAGUUUAGAAAUUUAAAAAAAGGUAAAUUUCAAUUUGCCCCUAUGGUUUUAGCAAAUUUUUACUUUAGUAUUUAUAGUCUAAAUAGUUGUACUUAACUACUCUAUAAUUUAUCUAUUUUUAUUCUAUUAUUCUAUGGUUUAAAACUCAAUU